rnacentral:rRNA from 1 species
UAACACGUAAGCAACCUGCCUUUAAGACGAGAAUAACAAUUGGAAACAGUUGCUAAGGCUGGAUAGGAAAUAAAAAGGCAAUCUUUUUAUUUUUAAAAGACCUUUUUCGGAAGGUAUGCUUAAAGAGGGGCUUGCGUCACAUUAGUUAGUUGGUAGGGUAAAGGCCUACCAAGACGAUGAUGUGUAGCUGGACUGAGAGGUUGAACAGCCACAUUGGGACUGAGACACGGCCCAAACUCCUACGGGAGGCAGCAGUAGGGAAUUUUCGGCAAUGGAGGAAACUCUGACCGAGCAACGCCGCGUGAACGACGAAGUACUUCGGUAUGUAAAGUUCUUUUAUUGAAGAAGAAACAAUAGUGGAAAAACUAUCUUGACGUUAUUCAAUGAAUAAGCCCCGGCUAACUAUGUGCCAGCAGCCGCGGUAAUACAUAGGGGGCGAGCGUUAUCCGGAAUUAUUGGGCGUAAAGGGUGCGUAGGCGGUUUAAUAAGUCUCUAGUUUAAUUUCAACGCUUAACGUUGUCCUGCUAGAGAAACUGUUUAACUAGAGUGAGAUAGAGGUAAGCGGAAUUCCAUGUGUAGCGGUAAAAUGUGUAAAUAUAUGGAGGAACACCAGAGGCGUAGGCGGCUUACUGGGUCUUUACUGACGCUGAUGCACGAAAGCGUGGGGAGCAAACAGGAUUAGAUACCCUGGUAGUCCACGCCGUAAACUAUGAGUACUAAGUGUCGGGGUUAAACUCGGUACUGAAGUUAACACAUUAAGUACUCCGCCUGAGUAGUACGUACGCAAGUAUGAAACUUAAAGGAAUUGACGGGAUCCCGCACAAGCGGUGGAUCAUGUUGUUUAAUUCGAAGAUACACGAAAAACCUUACCAGGUCUUGACAUACUCUGCAAAGCUAUAGAAAUAUAGUGGAGGUUAUCAGGGAUACAGGUGGUGCAUGGUUGUCGUCAGCUCGUGUCGUGAGAUGUUAGGUUAAGUUCUAAAACGAGCGCAACCCCUGUCGUUAAUUGCCAGCACGUUAUGGUGGGGACUUUAGCGAGACUGCCAAUGAAAAAUUGGAGGAAGGUGGGGAUUACGUCAAAUCAUCAUGCCCCUUAUGAUCUGGGCUACAAACGUGAUACAAUGGCUAUUACAAAGAGUAGCUGAAACGCGAGUUUUCGGCAAAUCUCAAAAAAAUAGUCUCAGUUCGGAUUGAAGUCUGCAACUCGACUUCAUGAAGUUGGAAUCGCUAGUAAUCGCGAAUCAGCAUGUCGCGGUGAAUACGUUCUCGGGGUUUGUACACACCGCCCGUCAAACCACGAAAGUGGACAAUACCCGAAAGCGACAGCCUAACUGCGUAAGCAGAGGGAAUCGUCUAAGGUAGGGUCGAUGAUUGGGGUUAAGUCGUAACAAGGUAUCCCUACCGGAAGGUGGGGAUGGAUCACCUCCUUUCU